rnacentral:rRNA from 1 species
GAUGAACGCUAGCGGCAGGCCUAAUACAUGCAAGUCGAACGAGAUUAAGGAGCUUGCUCCUUAUGAAAGUGGCGCACGGGUGCGUAACGCGUAUGCAACCUACCUUAAUCAGGGGGAUAGCCCGAAGAAAUUAGGAUUAACACCGCAUAAAAACCCAGGAUAGCAUUAUCCAAUGUUCAAAUAUUUAUAGGAUUAAGAUGGGCAUGCGUGUCAUUCGCUAGUUGGCGGGGUAACGGCCCACCAAGGCGACGAUGACUAGGGGAUCUGAGAGGAUGACCCCCCACACUGGUACUGAGACACGGACCAGACUCCUACGGGAGGCAGCAGUAAGGAAUAUUGGUCAAUGGAGGCAACUCUGAACCAGCCAUGCCGCGUGCAGGAAGACUGCCCUAUGGGUUGUAAACUGCUUUUAUCCGGGAAUAAACCUAAUUACGUGUAAUUAGCUGAAUGUACCGGAAGAAUAAGGAUCGGCUAACUCCGUGCCAGCCGCCGCAGUAACAC